rnacentral:rRNA from 1 species
UUGGUCAUUUAGAGGAAGUAAAAGUCGUAACAAGGUCUCCGUAGGUGAACCUGCGGAGGGAUCAUUACACAAUACGAAGGCGGGCUGGAUUCCCCCCCUGAUGGGCACUGCUUCACGGCGUGCGCAACGGGGGCCCGGCCCUGCUGAACUAUUCACCCGUGUCUUUUGCGUACCUCUUGUUUCCUGGGCGGGCUCGCCCGCCACCAGGACCAACCAUAAACCUUUUUGUAAUAGCAAUCCGCGUCAGUAACAACGUAAUUAAAUUACAACUUUCAACAACGGAUCUCUUGGUUCUGGCAUCGAUGAAGAACGCAGCGAAAUGCGAUACGUAGUGUGAAUUGCAGAAUUCAGUGAAUCAUCGAAUCUUUGAACGCACAUUGCGCCCUUUGGUAUUCCAAAGGGCAUGCCUGUUCGAGCGUCAUUUGUACCCUCAAGCUUUGCUUGGUGUUGGGCGUCUUUGUCUCCAGCUCGCUGGAGACUCGCCUUAAAGUCAUUGGCAGCCGGCCUACUGGUUUCGGAGCGCAGCACAAGUCGCGCUCUUCUUCCAGCCAAGGUCAGCGUCCAGCAAGCCUUUAUUCAACCUUUGACCUCGGAUCAGGUAGGGAUACCCGCUGAACUUAAGCAUAUCAAUA